rnacentral:misc_RNA from 1 species
GAUGAAGAACGUAGCGAAAUGCGAUAAGUAAUGUGAAUUGCAGAAUUCAGUGAAUCAUCGAGUCUUUGAACGCACAUUGCGCCCCCUGGUAUUCCGGGGGGCAUGCCUGUCCGAGCGUCAUUGCUGCCCUCAAGCACGGCUUGUGUGUUGGGCCCCCGUCCCCGGUUUCCCCCGGGGACGGGCCCGAAAGGCAGCGGCGGCACCGCGUCCGGUCCUCGAGCGUAUGGGGCUUUGUCACCCGCUCUGUAGGCCCGGCCGGCGCCAGCCGACACCCAACUUUAUUUCUAAGGUUGACCUCGGAUCAGGUAGGGAUACCCGCUGAACUUAAGCAUAUCAAUAAGCGGAGAA